rnacentral:rRNA from 1 species
CUAAGGUUUCCUGGGGAAGGUAAAUCCGCCCAGGGUUAGCCGGAGCCUAAGUCAAGGCUGAAAGGCGUAGACGAUGGACAACAGGUUAAUAAUCCUGUGCCACCGUAACAGCGUUGAGCAUGGGGGGACAGAGGUGUGAAGGUUAUCAAGUCCAAUAGACACGGCUUGUUCAAGCCGGAGAUGUUGUCUCAGGCAAAUCCGAGACGUAUGGCAUCGAAGGUGAGUACGUGGGCGUAUGCCCUUAAGUAACUGGAGCAUCUUUCAAGAAAAGCCUCGUUUGCGAGCUGUUAUGGUGUCCGUACUAAAACUGACACAGGUAGGCGGGGA